rnacentral:rRNA from 1 species
UGUGUAGGCGGCUGAUUAAGUCGGAUGUGAAAUCCCUGAGCUUAACUUAGGAAUUGCAUUCGAUACUGGUCAGCUAGAGUAUGGGAGAGGAUGGUAGAAUUCCAGGUGUAGCGGUGAAAUGCGUAGAGAUCCGGAGGAAUACCGAUGGCGAAGGCAGCCAUCUGGCCUAAUACUGACGCUGAGGUACGAAAGCAUGGGGAGCAAACA